rnacentral:rRNA from 1 species
AACUUUUUUAGAAGAGAUGCAUUUAUUAGAUAAAAAACCAAUACAUGCUUUUAAAGUAUGGAAUUUGGUGAUUUACAAUAACUUAGCAAAUCGCAUAGUGAAAACAGGCGAUAAAUCAUUCAAGUUUCUGACCUAUCAGCUUUCGACGGUAUGGUAUUGGCUUACCGUGGCAGUGACGGUUAACGGGGGAUUAGGGUUCGAUUCCGGAGAGGGAGCCUGAGAAACGGCUACCACAUCUAAGGAAGGCAGCAGGCGCGCAAAUUACCCAAUUCUAACAGCAUAAGAGAGGUAGUGACAAGAAAUAACAAUACAAGGCAGUUAAAAUGCUUUGUAAUUGGAAUGAUAGAAAUUUAAACACUUUUUAAAGUAUCAAUUGGAGGGCAAGUCUGGUGCCAGCAGCCGCGGUAAUUCCAGCUCCAAUAGCGUAUAUUAAAAUUGUUGCAGUUAAAAAGCUCGUAGUUGAAUUUCUGCUAAAAAUAACCGGUCUGCUUUUAAUAAAGGUGGUAUCUUGGUGUGUUUUUAGCAAUAAUGUCCUUUGAAAUGUUUUUUACUUCAUUGUAAUAAAUUAUUUUCAGGAUUUUUACUUUGAGAAAAUUAGAGUGUUUCUAGCAGGCUAACGCUUUGAAUACUGC